AUUGAACGCUGGCGGGAUGCUUUACACAUGCAAGUCGAACGGCAGCACGGACUUCGGUCUGGUGGCGAGUGGCGAACGGGUGAGUAAUACAUCGGAACGUGCCCAGUCGUGGGGGAUAACGUAGCGAAAGCUACGCUAAUACCGCAUACGAUCUAAGGAUGAAAGCGGGGGAUCGCAAGACCUCGCGCGAUUGGAGCGGCCGAUGGCAGAUUAGGUAGUUGGUAGGGUAAAGGCCUACCAAGCCGACGAUCUGUAGCUGGUCUGAGAGGAUGAUCAGCCACACUGGGACUGAGACACGGCCCAGACUCCUACGGGAGGCAGCAGUGGGGAAUUUUGGACGAUGGGCGCAAGCCUGAUCCAGCCAUUCCGCGUGCAGGAUGAAAGCCUUCGGGUUGUAAACUGCUUUUGUACAGAACGAAAAGGCUCUGGUUAAUACCCGGGGCUCAUGACGGUACUGUAAGAAUAAGCACCGGCUAACUACGUGCCAGCCGCCGCAGUAA
rnacentral:rRNA from 1 species